CACGUAGGGCGCAAGCGUUGUCCGGAAUUAUUGGGCGUAAAGGGCUCGUAGGCGGUUUGUCGCGUCGGGAGUGAAAUCCACUGGCUUAACUGGUGGCUUGCUUUCGAUACGGGCAGACUGGAGGUAUGCAGGGGAGAACGGAAUUCCUGGUGUAGCGGUGAAAUGCGCAGAUAUCAGGAGGAACACCGGUGGCGAAGGCGGUUCUCUGGGCAACAACUGACGCUGAGGAGCGAAAGCGUGGGGAGCGAACAGG
rnacentral:rRNA from 1 species